GAUGAACGCUAGCGACAGGCCUAACACAUGCAAGUCGAGGGGCAGCACAGUUUAGCAAUAAGCGGGUGGCGACCGGCGCACGGGUGAGUAACGCGUAUGCAACCUGCCCUUAUUCGGGGGAUAACCCGUCGAAAGGCGGCCUAACACCGUAUGGUUCUAUUUUCCCGCAUGGCGAGAUAGAUAAACAUUAAGGAAUAAGGAUGGGCAUGCGUUCCAUUAGAUAGUUGGGGGGGUAACGGCCCACCAAGUCGACGAUGGAUAGGGGAACUGAGAGGUUGGCCCCCCACACUGGUACUGAGACAGGGACCAGACUCCUACGGGAGGCAGCAGUGAGGAAUAUUGGUCAAUGGACGGAAGUCUGAACCAGCCAAGUCGCGUGAAGGAAGACAGCCCUAUGGGUUUUAAACUUCUUUAGCAGGGGAGUAAAAAGCGUUAUGUAUAACGCCUUGCAAGUACCCUGAGAAUAAGCAUCGGCUAACUCCGUGCCAGCAGCCGCGGUAAUACGGAGGAUGCGAGCGUUAUCCGGAUUUAUUGGGUUUAAAGGGUGCGUAGGCGGGCAAUUAAGUCAGCGGUGAAAUUUAGAGGCUUAACCUUUACAGCGCCGUUGAAACUGGUUGUCUUGAGUACAGACGAAGUAAGCGGAAUUCGCGAUGUAGCGGUGAAAUGCAUAGAUAUCGCGAAGAAUGCCGAUUGCGCAAGCAGCUUACUAGGUUGUAACUGACGCUGAAGCACGAAAGCGUGGGGAUCAAACAGGAUUAGAUACCCUGGUAGUCCACGCCGUAAACGAUGAUUACUAGCUGUUUGCGAUAUACAGUAAGCGGCACAGCGAAAGCGUUAAGUAAUCCACCUGGGGAGUACGCCGGCAACGGUGAAACUCAAAGGAAUUGACGGGGGCCCGCACAAGCGGAGGAACAUGUGGUUUAAUUCGAUGAUACGCGAGGAACCUUACCCAGGCUCGAACGUAGUAUGCAAGCAUAUGAAAGUAUGCUGUCAGCGAUGACAUAUUACGAGGUGCUGCAUGGUUGUCGUCAGCUCGUGCCGUGAGGUGUCGGCUUAAGUGCCAUAACGAGCGCAACCCUUAUCGAUAGUUACUAGCAGGUAAAGCUGAGGACUCUAUAGAGACUGCCGGCGUAAGCCGCGAGGAAGGUAGGGAUGACGUCAAAUCAGCACGGCCCUUACGUCUGGGGCGACACACGUGUUACAAUGGGAGGGACAAAGGGCAGCCACUUGGCGACAAGGCGCGAAUCCCCAAACCCUCUCCCAGUUCGGAUCGGAGUCUGCAACCCGACUCCGUGAAGCUGGAUUCGCUAGUAAUCGCGCAUCAGCCAUGGCGCGGUGAAUACGUUCCCGGGCCUUGUACACACCGCCCGUCAAGCCAUGGAAGCUGGGAGCGCCUGAAGUAUGCGACCGUCAAAGGCGCGUCCUAGGGCGAUACCGGUAACUGGGGCU
rnacentral:rRNA from 1 species